rnacentral:lncRNA from 1 species
UACCCGAGAAACCUCCUGUUUCUCUUGCAUAUCUUCAUCAGUAAGUCUUUGGACCCGAGGGUGCCUUGCCAAAAUUGGAUCUUGGACAUGAUGGUCUGGGAUUUGUGGCUGAUGGCGUGGUUAUUCGAUCUGACGAGGUGGGUGAUGUCGGAGCAGGAGAAGCCCAGAUCCUGCAAAGCUCGGAACUUUGGGGCCAGGUUCUUCUCCACGUCGAGGAGAAGCCACCGGGGGUUUUCAGAUAUGACCAUUUUCACCUGGGUGUUGUCAAAACCGUAGCUUUUAAAUAAGCCAAGGACGGAGUCAGGCUGGUGGCGGGAUUCGAUGCGGCCAAGGAGCUUCGAGGCCUUGGCCGCCUCAUCCGGAUCGAAGCCACAGGAGCUGACCAGGUAUUCAGCCAUGAAGCUGCUCUGUGGAGCACCGGAGGCGGCGGAAUAAGAAUGGGUUGAGAGAAAAACGGCAGCAUCGGCCGGACGACGGCGAGGGAUGAAGGUGAGGGCUUUGAACAAGAGAGAGACGAACGGCGACCUAUUCAUCAACGUCAUCGUCGUCUACUUCUCCUUCUUUGUAUGUUCCUUCUCUUCUCCAAGACCUAGCGAUGGUGGUGUUGCUGCGUCGGGAGGAAACUGGCCGGAAAUACCUGCAUCCGAAACCCUAGUAGUGCGCCACUGUAUCCGAGGAACUCUUUUGUUCGGUCGGAGAUUUCUGCGACCGCAGGCCUCUUUUUUCCUUCGUUAGCUUUUACUGUGUGCCAACUACAAAUAGUAGAUGAAUGAACACUCGUCUUCACUUUCUCUUCGGUCGGAGAUUUCUGCGACCGCAGACCUCCAUUUUUUUUUUGUUUUUCUUCGGCAACUUUAAUCGUGUGCAUCUUCAAAAAUAAAUGAAUGAACACUAGCGAAGUCAACUCUUUUCUUCCAUUCGAGAUUUCUACGAACACAAACAUCUUUUCCUUCGUCAACUUUUAUCGAUUGAUAACUAAAAAUGAUAAAUGAAUGAACACUAGUAAAGUUCACUCUUUUCUUCAAUCGAGGAUUUCUGCAAGCCACUUUUUCUUUGUCAAUUUUUAUUUAGUGCCAACUAAAAAUAAUAGUAAAUGAAUGAGCACUAAUAAAGCCAUAAUCCUCAUAAAAAUCGAUGGGUUAAUAAUUAUGCUACCUAAAUUAUAAAAUUAAAUCAACUAUAGUAUUUUCAUUUAAGGGUAUCUUCUCAAAAUAAUCACUCAUUAUUAAUUUUUUAAUCAUAAAAUACUAAUUAUUAAAUUUUUAUGGAAUGAUAUCCUUAUAUUCGCUUUUGUUUAUGGCACUUAUUUUAUUUUCUAAGUCAAUCAUAAUGCGUGAAUCAAUUCUUUUAAAAAUGAACUAAUCCAAUCUACAUAAUCCUACUUAACCUAGUUUAGUUUAAUAGAACCUUAAUUUAUCUCUUAUUCUCCAUUAAGUAAUCUCAUGUAACGUGAUCUCCAAUAAAAUGAGAGAUUUUUCAUCAUUGAUUAUUCACUGGUCACCAAAAUUAAUUUGUUGGAAUCUUCGUUCCUGUAAACGAGCAAUGUGGUAUGGGUAGGCUUUGUGUUGCAUUGGUCAAAUCCUCUACUGUAUUGAUAAAGCAUUCGUAAAAAAACUUUUCCACUAUAUUCACGAAAUAUUCAUGCAAGGCUUCGCUAUUGUGUUGCCUAAGAAUUCAUGGAACGCAUUGUGGAAGCCUUCAAUGCAUCACUAAAGACCUCUUUGUUGCUUUGCCAAAACAUUUAUAGUACGAUUCUAAUUCCCAUAGUCUAGAUUCCUAACGUGGUUAUCGUGAAACUUGUCUUCUCUAUAAUGAGUUGCUCGUUAGUCGAGGAAAAGUGGUGAGAAGCAUCGUUAGUUUAAAAUUUGCCAAAGCUAUGGUUUGUAGUGUUGUUUGGAUUUUUUAUUGACUUAAAAUAUUAUUCUCAAAUUAUUUAAAGGUUAAAAUAUUAGUCUUAUAAAGCUUUUUUUAAGAUGAGAAUUGAGUGGUUUUAUAGAGCACUUAUGGUACUUUUGUCUUUUCAAGUACCAUAACUUGAAAACUUUUGUCUUUUCAAGUAGUGAUAUACUUCCACACAAUUUCAAACUUUAAAUAUUGAAUUGGGAAGUAAAUCAAGUUAGGAUCUACUUUCUCAUAACUUUAAACUUUAAUCUAUAUUUUAGGAAGCAAUCAUGAGAUACAUGAUUAGAUUAGAGGAUCUAUUUUCGCAUAAAUCUAAAUGUGUAACUUUGAUCUGAAUGAGACAUUUGUAAUAGAUGAGAAUGAAAGUAGUUAUAAGAUAUUUGAAGCAUUUUGAACUAUUAUUAAUAUUAAAGUAGUUAUCUAUACAAGUUUUUAGCAAAUAUGACAUAAUAUUAUAAAGCAUUUUGAACUAUUAUUAAUAUUAAAUAUGAAGUUAACAUUGCACAAUUGAUCUUACAAUCCUUAUUAUAAUCAUGUUUUAGUUCAAUUAUGAAAGUGGACUUUAGUUGAAUUAGAAUCAUGUUUUAGUUAAGUUAUCAUUCAAGUAAGACAUCACAAUCCUACCCCAAUAAUGUGCCAAAUUUUUUUAAUAUCUUAAGAUCCUAAAAAAAUGAUGUUAAUCAUCUUAUGCUUAUAGCCAAAUAGUUUAAUAAAAGUUUGAACUAGUUUAGUGGAAGCUGUCCAAGUCAUAGUCAAAAUUUAAUGAAGUUACACUUGAUCACUAUAUAUUUUCAAAAAAAAUAAUUUUGAUAAUUAAUUAUCUCUAACAAUAGAAAAAAUAUAGUAUUAAUCAUCUUAGAAUCAUGUCCUAGGUUUUGUGAAAGUUUAGGUUGGUUUGUUAAGUUACAUUCAAGAUUGAACUAAGUUAUAUCUGAUUAGAGCAGGUAUUAAAAAAACCUCUAAUUUAAAUAAUUAAAUAUCAUAAAAAUUUUAAAUAUAAAAAAUGAUACUAAAAUUUUUAUAUUUAAUUAUUUAAAAUAUAAAAAAAUUUAAAUAAUUAAAUUACCUAUUGGUUGAAGUUGACCCAACAUUUAUAUAUGAUAUAAAUACUUUUCAAAUAUCACUUUUACAUAAAAGAAAUAUUUAGCAAAUUUCGUAUGUAGUACACAUCAUAGUAGCAACACAGCAAAACAUAUCAUUCAACUUUCAGGACAAUGACAUAUAAUUAUAUAUAAUAGGAACAACGUACAGUAGUGACACAUCAAACACAUAUCAUUCAAUUUUCACGAUAUACAUACAUACAUACAUACAUACAUAGUGAAACAUAUGUGCAUAUUUUAGUAAACAUCAUAGUACUCGCACACCAAAGCUAUAUAAUCCAACUUUCACAACAAUGACAUAUAAUUAUAUACCAUAUGAACAAUGACAUACAAUUAUAAAUGAUAUGAGCAUGCGCUACACACACCAAAUACAAGUAAAAUGACAUUCACAUUAGUAUUCUAUUACAUGUUUGACAUACUACCAAUUAUGGUAGUAGAUGUCAAAACAACAUAUCUCAUAUCUAAUGAGUAAAAAUAUCACAUUAUCACAAUCAAUUAAUGAGUAAAAUUUCUUAUCAUUUGAAAAAUCAACCGAACUUAAAACCUAAAUUACCAAAUAUCCAUAAUCAAAUCAAUUAAAAAAAUUCAGGUGUACAACAACCUGCAUAAGUCUGAUAUCUUCUGGUAGACUUAUGAAGAACAGGACAAGAAUAGUAAUUCCAUGCAGUGUCUACAAAAGAAUUAAGCAAUUAACCCUAUUGACAAUAUCAUGGCAAAUCUUCUCAUCAUUCUUCAUUUUUUUUACUACUUGUAUGCAUACAAGUUCAUCUUAAAUUCACCAAAAAAAAGUAAAUGACAGGAAUCACACUGCAUGGUUGCAAACUGCAGAUCAAGUUAAGCAGACAGUGAAAAAUUGGAACCUGGAAACACAACUUGCUGGUACAAAACCUUACACCAUGCAUUAUGCACUUACAGGAUCAAAGAGUAGGUCUGUUUUUCAUACAAUUCAAUGAGUUCUGGCACUCGUAGCAGAUGAUGAUCUUCCUCCAGAAAUUUCUUCUCUGGAUAUUUCAUGUAUGUGUAUAUUUGGAGGUCACCGAUGCAAAUUCUCCUGGACUUGAUGCCCAACAACAUCCAAUACAUUGGAACCAACCUUUUCUCCAAACUCAUCAACAAAAAUCACUGACCGAGGUACAAGAUAAGAUGGAGCAUAUUUGGCUUCAUUUACCAAGAACUCCAUGUUCUUCUCUUUAAAGAACCUGCCAUAAGUGUAAGAGCCUUUUUGAAUACAAGCAGCAAAUCAUCUAACCACCCGAAGCUCUUAAAGAACUCCAAGUGAGCGUUGAAAAUUUUCUUGCUGAUUGUCUGGAGCACCCUUAGAGCUCGAUGGAACAUCCCUGGGGUAUAGGCUAUUCCCAAACUCUCGACAUGACUAAUUAACACCUUCAGAGUUUCAGCCUUCUAGAAUAUCAGGCGAGGGUAGUGCCAUAGGAUCUCACAAUCCCUUAGAUCUAAAUGUUAGGCUGGAUCCUCUUCUCGAUGCUAUACCCGAGAAACUAGCGAUCUUUCUUGUAUAACUUCACCAAAAAUUCAUUGGACCUGAAGAGGCCUUACCGUAACUGGAUCUUGGACACGAUAGCCUGGAAUUUUUGGUUGAUGACGAUAGGAUUUGAUUUGACGAGAUGGGUGAUGUUGGAGUAGGAGAAGCCCAAAUCUUACAAAGCUCCAAAUUUUGAGGCUAGAGUCCUCUCCACGUCAAGGAGAAGCCACUAGUGGUUUAAAGAUAUGACCCUUUUCAUUUGAGCAUUAUCAAAACCAUAGCUUUUGAAGAAGCCAAGGAUAGAGUAAGGCUAAUGGCGGGAUUCGAUGCGGCAAAGGAGCUUCGAGGCCUUGGCCGUCUCAUCCAGAACGAAGUCACAGGAGCCAACUAGGUAUUCAACCAUGAGGUUGCUCUGUGGAGCCCCGAAAGUGGCGAAGUAAGAAUUGAUUGAAAGAAAAAAAGCAACGGUCAAACAACAACGAGGGAUGAAGGUAAAGGCAAGAGAGAAAAGUAAUACAACCUAUUGAUCAAUGUCAUCGUCUUUUUCUUCUUUUUUGUAUGUUCCUUCGCCAAAACCUAGCAAAGGUGGUAUUGCCAUAUCCUAGAAGAGCACGUUUGGGUCAAAAGUACUUGUAACCUAACUCUUGGAAGUUCGUUACAGUGUUCAAGGAAAUUAUUUUUUUAUCGAUCAAAGAUUUCUACGACUACAGUCAUCUUUUUAUAAUUAAAAAUAAUAAAUAAAUAAAUAAACGACAUGUGAGUCCUAAUGCUUAUAAAAGUUGAUGGAUUAAUAAUUAUACUACCUAAAUUAUAAAAUAAAAUAAAUGAUAAUAUUCUUAUUUAAAGAUAUUUUAUUGUAAAAGUCUCAUUUUGAAUUAAGAUCCAUUUUAUUCCCUAUGAUUUUGAUCAUUGAUCACUUAAACUUUUACGAUUUAGUCAUGUAUAUAAUAAUCUAUAUAUUUUUAAAAAUGUAACAUAUAAGCUCCUCCCGUUAAGUCUGAGUUAACAAACAUUAAAAUAUACUUACGUGAUAUAUUAACUCAUAAUAAAUUAUUAAUAAAAUAACAUAAAUUAUAUAUAUAUAUAUAUAUAAAGAGAAUUAGUUUUUUUGCUACUGCAACAACUUUUGUUGGAAAAAUAUCUCCAUCAAGCAACUAGAUGCCUUAUCCAUCAACUAGUUCUCAGGCAAGAAAGUACAUAAUAUAAUUCUUGGCUGACAACAAGUCAAGCCUUUGUCAAAAACACAAUAUCUAUGAUGAUCAACAAACAUUAGGGUACAAAUCCUCUAUAUCAUCUGUUGAUCCCAUGACUCAACAAAGAUGAAAAAUUAUCCAGAAAAUUCUAAUUUCUGUCACAAGAUACAAGUGGUGCUUCUGUUUUGUUUGACAGAGUACCUACCUACAAAAGACACUGCGACUAUCAUCAUUUCUCCUAGGCCAAUGAUGCAUCAAAACCUAAACGAAAGCACAAAGCAAAAGAUUAGAACUCAGAGAUAUACGACAUUUACCAGAUAUUAGCAUGCUACAAUACCUCAGGGAAUAUUAUUUUGAUGAAUUUGUCCAGAGACAAUAAUACAUCAAAACCUCAAGAUGAGGAACAUGCCAAAAGAUUAGGACUCGGACAUAUGGCUGAGACUAGCAUGCUAUACUACAACAGAAUAGCAUAAAUAAGAAUCUGGAGAGCUAAGGGCUGGAAUAAAAUUCCAGAUUACAUGCUGCUAUUAGGCAAUAAAUAUAUAGAUGCUCUAUAGCAGCAUUGAAACACAAGUUUGUAACAUAAAAACAACCUGCAUAAUUUGACAUGUUAACUAGACCUUCAGAUCACCUUUGUGUUUUAUAGCUCUUACAGCUUUGACAAUAAUAAAUCUAUAGAUGCUCUAUUGUAGCUCUAUAGUAGCAUUGAACCACAAGUUUGUAACAUAAAACCAACCUGCAUUAUUUGACAUUAAGGAUGCAAAAGAAGCAUACAGUGGCAAGUGCAAGUUGAAAUUGUGGAUUUUCAUAGUACAAAAACCAGUAUAACUACAAAUUCAAAUGCUUAAAAAAUUUUCUAGAUUUUUUCUUUUCUAACUUUCUGUAUUAACUGUCCAUGAAAUUUAUGUAAAAAACAUGGUCUGCAGUACCGGACUGUAUCGCCCGGUACGGGCGGUACGUACCGGUCCGACAGGUUUCCGGUACGCGGACCGCCUGUUACCGGUAUGUAGCACUGUAGCAGUACUACAGUGCUCGGCAUGCCUGAAUAUACCGCUCGGUACAUCUGGGUGUACCGCUCAGUAUACCGUAUCGUACCGGUACCGAGUCCAGGUCGAAACUCCGGUACGGUACGGUAUUGCGGACUUUGAUAAAAAAUAUCUUCAACACUGUAAAUUAGAUACCAAAUCAGCAAAUUUAUGCGGACAAAUAUCGAAGAGACCGAAGAUUAUUCGUGCCAAUUUAGUUAGAAUCUCUCCUGAUAAAAUCUGCUUAAUUUGCCGACAAAUGAUCUAAAUCAGCUAAUCUAAAGUGGUCAUCACUUUUAUUCCUUUUCCCCAGUAAGUCAAAUCUUUCAUUCUUAAGGUAAAAAGGAAACAUGGUUGGCAUCACUUUGGAAGGUCCUCACGAAAACUUUCGCUGCCUAUCCGAUUCCUUGUUUUGUGCCUUGAAGUAGUGGGUCUUUUACGGUUUUGCAGCAACACUGAGAGCUCUUCUUUUCUUUACUGAACAAUGAGCACGAAUCUCUGCCUAUGGCCAAAAUUCCAUUACUGAAUAAUUCUCAUUGCCAACAAUUGAAACAACAUCCCAUCAAGUCUCAUCAUUAUUAAUAUAGUAAACGUCUAACUAUAAUUUUAUUAGAAAAUCAGCUAAGGAUUUCACCUUGACGGAACAGAACACUUCUUCAAUCCUUAGCUCCCAAGCUAUGGACCAUCUGAAAUAUGUAAUUUCAGCUCGAUAGGGAUUAUCUUAGUAGAAACAGGACGUCAAAAAAUCCAAUCAUGUGUCAUGCAAUCAGCUUAUAAGAAUCAUAAUAUGAAAAGGCAAGCAUAAACUAGAAUAGAAGAUCUCAUAAGUUCAUCAUGAGAACAGCACAUCCAGCAAUGCGCUUAGCUGUAACAGAACUUGUCCGACAACUCGGGAUGAAACAAGCUCCUUAUAGAUUAAGAACUCAAUUCAUAUCACAUUCCAAGCUAUUACUUCAUUACACGAAUGGAAUGGUGCACCACUCACAAUGGUAGAAACACGUCUACAAUCUCUUAUCAUCAUGUUGGAAGACUACUAAUCCCAUUCGAAACUGCCUACUAAUGCUGUCAAUCUUGUUCAUCAAACUAAUCAAUUAAGAAAGAGAACAAAAUUUGACAAACAAAAUACACAAAAAGAGGAUGAUACUCAACAUCGUUUCUCUUUUUUGGGUUUUGGAUUUGGAUAGGAGAGUAGCAAAGUUAUAUAAAAGGUGACCGACCCUUACCCUAAAUCAAAAGGUUCAUCCUCCACCUCAAAAUCACCUAAGCGUCCUACCCAGUCAUCCAAAAGAAUCCUACUUCUUAUCAUUUCGAAAAUUAACCAAAACUCAAACCUAAUUACCUAAUAUCCAUAGCCAAAUCAAUUAAAACAUUUAGGGGUCGAACAACCUACAUAAGUUUGAUAUCUUCCAGUAGACUUCAAACGAACAAGACAAGAAUAACAACCACAUCUAUAGAAAGUGAUUCUCAUCAUUCUUCAUUUUCUUGCUGCAUGUGUGCAUCCAAGUUCAUCUAACAUUCACAAAGAACGAAAGUAAAUGGCAGGAAUUAUUUGGUUGCAAACUGCAGAUUAAAGUUGAAUGGCAGGAAUCACACUACAUGGAUGCAAACAGUUAUGCAGAGUGGAAAAUUAGAACCUGGAAACACAACUUGCUGGCACAAUACCUUGCACCAUGCAUUAUGCACUCGCAGGAUCAAAGAGCAGUUCUGUUUUUUGGGGCUUCAUUAUACAAUUCAAUGAGUUCUGGAAACUCAGUGUGGCGGAUGACAAACUUCUCCAGAAAUUUCUUCUCUGGAUAUAACAUGUAUGUGAUCAUUUGGUGGUUACCGAUGUGAACUCCCCUUGACUUCAGGACCGUCAAUAUCCGAUAUCUUGGAAUCAACCUUUUCUCCAAACUCAUCAACAAAAUCCGUGGCCGGGGUGCAAGAUAAGACGGAGCGCAUCUGGUUUCAUUUACCAAGAACUCCAUCUUUCUCUGCAAACUCUUUAAAGAAAAUCCCACAAGACAAGGAGCCUUUCUGAAUGCAGCAAGGAAAUCAUCCUUGGACCACCCGAAACCCUCGAAGAACUCCAAGUGAGCCUUGAAGUUCUUCUCGGAGACGCUUUUGAGCGCAUUCAGGGUGUGGAGGAACAUCCCUGAGGUGCGAGCUACUCCCAAACCCUCGACACGACUGAUUAACGCCUUCAGGGUUUCAGCCUUAAGGGUUCCGAGGAGUGGGCGGUACCGAAGGAUCAUUGAGAGCUUCUGAUCCGUUAUCCCGCAAUCCCUUAGAAUUUCAAUGUUAGGCUGGAUCGUCUUCUCGAUGCUAUACCCGAGAAACCACCUGUGUUUCUUGCAUACCUUCACCAGUAAGUCGUUGGACCCGAGGAGGCCUUGCCAUAAUUGGAUCUUGGACAAGAUGGUCUGGGAUUUGUAGCUGAAGGCGUGGUUAUUCGAUAUGACGAGGUGGGUGAUGUCGGAGCAGGAGAAGCCCAGAUCCUGCAAAGCUCGGAACUUUGGGGCCAGGGUCUUCUCCACGUCGAGGAGAAGCCACCGGGGGUUUGCAGAUAUGACCUUUUUCACCUGGGUGUCGUCAAAACCGUAGCUUUUAAAUAAGCCAAGGACGGAGUCAGGCUGGUGGCGGGAUUCGAUGCGGCCAAGGAGCUUCAAGGCCUUGGCCGCCUCAUCCGGAUCGAAGCCACAGGAGCUGACAAGGUAUUCGGCCAUGAGGUUGCUUUGUGGAGCCCUGGAGGCGGCGGAAUAAGAAUGGGUUGAGAGAAAAACGGCAGCAUCGGCCGGGCGACGGCGAGGGAUGAAGGUGAGGGCUUUGAACAAGAGAGAGACGUACAGCGACCUAUUCAUCAACGUCAUCGUCGUCUACUUCUCCUUCUUUGUAUGUUCCUUCUCUUCACCAAGACCUAGCGAUGGUGGUGUUGCUGCGUCUGAAGGAAACUGGCCGGAAGUACCUGCUUCCAAAACCCUAGAAGUGCGUCACUGUGUCCGAGGAACUCUUUUGUUCGGUCGGAGAUUUCUGCGACCGCAUGCUAUUUUUUUUUUCUUCGGCUACUUUUAUCGUGUGCCAACGUAAAAAAAAAAUAAAUAAAUGAACGAAUCCGAUCUACAUAAUCCUACUUAACCAUAUUUAGUUUAAUAUAACCCUAAUUUACCUCUUAUUCUUCGCAAAGUUACCUCAUAAUAAAACGAGAUAUGCUUCAUUGAUAAAGCAGAAGUUUUUAUUAUUGCAUUAGCUAAAUUCAAAGCAUUCCAAAUUGCUUUUGCAUAUUGUUCCACUAUAUAAACAUCAUAAAGCUGAAAUACUGAUCACCUGAAAUAUGUAAUUUUCAGAUCGAUAGGAUUAUCUUAGUAGAAAUAAGAUGUCAAGAAAUCUAAUUGUCUCAUGCAAUCAGCUAAAGAUAAGAAUAAUAAUGAAAAAAGAGCAUAAAUUAGAAUAAAAGAUCUCACAAAUUCAUCAUGUGAAAAGCACAUCCAUCGGUGCACUUUGCGGCAUCAAAACUCGUCUGACUGCUCAGGAUGAAGAAACCUCCUUACAGACUAAAUUCAUAUCACAUUCCCUGCUAUUAGUCCAUUACUAGGAUCAAGUGGUGCCCGGCAACAGUAGAAAUACGUCUUUCUAUAGACGCAAGGAAUAUCUUAUAAGCUUGUUUGAUGACUACUAAUCCCUUUCAAAAUUGCCUACUAAUAAUGACAAUGUUGUUCAAUCAUCCAUAUAUGUAUACAUCAACAUGCUGCACAACCAUGCAACAACAUCCUUUCACAUGCUCAAGCGUCCAACUUAUGCAUCAUGACACUUCUAACAAAUAUUAAUAUGCGUCAAUUAUAGGCUACAAUAGACGCAUCAAUAUAAAAUUGAUUGCCAAAAGAAAUAUGGUUACCAUACCAUCCAAAAGAAUCCUACUUCUUAUCAUUUGAAAAAAUAACCAAAACUCGAAACCUAAAUUACCAAAUAUCCAUAGUCAAAUCAAUUCAAAACUUCAGGUGUCCAAUAACCUACAUAAGUCUGAUAUCUUCCAGUAGACUUAAAACGAAUGGGACAAGAAUAACAAUUCCAUGUGGCCUCUACACAAAUGAUUAUCAACAAGCAAUUAACUCUAUCGGCAAUAUCAUCACAAAUCUUCUCAACAUUCUUCAUUUUCUUACUACAUGUAAGCAUCCAAACUCAUCUUACAUUCACAGAAAACGAAGUAAAUGGCAGGAAUUAUUUGGUUGCAAACUGUAGAUCAUGUUAUGCGGAUAGUGGAAAAUUGGAACCUGAAAACAUAACUUGCUGGCACAAAAGCUUGUGCUAUGCAUUAUGCAUUUCCACGAUCAAAUGCAGUUCUGUUUUUGGGGACUCCAUUAUACAACUCAAUGAGUUCUGGAUACUCCUUGUAGCAGUUGACGAACUUCUCCAGAAAUUGUUUCUCUGUAUAUUUCAUGUAUGUCAAUAUACUAAGGUUACUGAUGCAAACUCCCCUAGACUUCAGGCCUGUCACAAUCCGAUGCCUUGGCAUCAACUUUUUCUCCAAACUCAUCAACAAAAAAUCUGGCCGAAGUGCAAGAUAAGAUGGAGCACAUCCAGCUUCANNNNNNNNNNNNNNNNNNNNUUCGAUCUGACGAGGUGGGUGAUGUCGGAGCAGGAGAAGCCCAGAUCCUGCAAAGCUCGGAACUUUGGGGCCAGGGUCUUCUCCACGUCGAGGAGAAGCCACCGGGGGUUUGCAGAUAUGACCUUUUUCACCUGGGUGUUGUCAAAACCGUAGCUUUUAAAUAAGCCAAGGACGGAGUCAGGCUGGUGGCGGGAUUCGACGCGGCCAAGGAGCUUCGAGGCUUUGGCCGCCUGAUCAGGAUGGAAGCCACAGGAGCUGACCAGGUAUUCAGCCAUAAGGCUGCUCUCUGGAGCACCGGAGGCGGCGGAAUAAGAAUGGGUUGCGAGAAAAAGGGCAGCAUUGGCCGGACGACAGCAAGGGACGAAGGCAAGGGCUUUGGACAAGAGAGAGACGUAGGGCGACCUAUUCAUCAUUGUCAUCGUCUUCUUCUUCUUUGUAGGUUCCUUCUCUUUACCAAAACCAAGCGAAGGUGGCGUAGCUGCGUAUAGAGGAGCGCGUUUAGGCCGGAAGUACCUGCGUCUUAAACCCUAGAAGUGCGUUACCGUAUUCGACAUUUUUCUUUCGGGCGGAGAUUACUGCGACCGCAGGCGUCUUUUUUUUUUUCUUAAGUUUGUUGAGGGGAGAAAAAACUUUUAUUGCGUGCGAACUAAAGAUAAUAAAAGGUGUUCUUUUAGAAAAAAUUUGCACUAUUAUUUUUUUUAUCUAGGGUUUAUUUUUUAUAGUUAGAACAAAAAUAUACCAUUAAUCUUCUAUUAAAAAUGACUUGAUCAGCUAUUAAAAAAUUGAUAAUUAAUUAUCAAAAAAUUUAAAAAAUAUAAAAAGCUAUGCUAAUCAUUUUAAAAUCAAUAGAUAUGGAUUGAAGAUGAUUAAUAUCUAUUUUUUAAAAAAAUAUCAAAUUAUAAUUUAUUUAAAUAAUAUCUAUGAUUAAGUCACAUAAGUUCAAAAUAUAAGAGUGUUUUUUGUCUAUAUAAAAAAUACCUAAGUAAAAAUGAAUAUGGAGGGUUUUAUCGAUAAAAAAAACUAAUACGAGAAAUCAUCUUUUUUAUAAAAGACCCAACAUAAAUGAAUGAAUGCUAGAAAACAACUUAUUCGUCGUAAAAUUUGAUGGAUUAAUACAUAUGCUACUCUAAUUAUCAAGUUAAAGUCAACAAUAAAAAAUUCUGCUCAUUGUUGACUUAAGAAUCUACUCAAUAGAUUUUCACCAAAUAGGGAAAGAUAGAGACUCGCAAACACGUCAACUAUCUUGCUACUGAGAAUUGCUACAAACAUAUACUAUCUAUCAAACAAAGCCCAAGGCAGCUUUUAUGUAGAAAUUAAUAAUAAUUUGAUGAUCAUGUUCAUACUAAAAAUAAAAAGUCAUUCAUCACAUAAUCAUUAACUUGUUAUAUCCAUAUCAAGAUUAAGAAGGUGUACCCUGAUUACCUUUGAUUUAUAAUCGAUAAUAUUUGAUUUAACAUAUUGACAAGUAUUGUAAUUGUUAUAAAUAUCCUUAUACGGAAUCAAAUAGUUUGAGUAAUAUAUCUCACCUUUAUAAAGGUUUCUUCUCAUCUUUAUUAUUUUUUAAUAUCGGAGAAUUAUUCUGUCAGCUUAAGGGAUUUAUAUAUCACUAGCUUACUUUUAAUGCAAAGUAACUCAAAAUCUCAUAUCUCAAAAUUGUUAGAAUAUAUGGCUCUUUAUAAUAGAAUAAGAUAUAUAAUAAAAUUAAUUAGAUUUUGAUGUCGGAUAUUAGUCAAUAAAAAGGAGUAUGGGCCAAGUGGGAAAAUAUCUUAUUAAUUAAUGGGUUAAGUGGGAGAAUAUCAAAAUAUAUUAUCCUUUAUAAUUGAAUAAGAUGUAUAAUAAUUCUGAUAAUGGAUAUUAGCUAAUAGAAAAGAAGUUCAUAUUAUAGUAUGAUUCCUUAGGGGACGCCCUUGAUGAGAGGACUCUCAUAAUUACUUAACAUAGACCCUCUAAUCUUACAUAUAAAUAGAUAGGACCUCCUAGGGACUAAUGACAUGAUGUUUAUGUGAUGUGAUGACCGUGGACACAUAUACAAGAUACGAUAGGUGACAUUGAGAGAUUACGAUUUCUUUCUCAUCCUCUCUUGUCUCUAAACCAUUAAUAACUAUAGUCUUGUGAAAAGGUAGAAAGAGAUGANNNNNNNNNNNNNNNNNNNNNNNNNNNNNNNNNNNNNNNNNNNNNNNNNNNNNNNNNNNNNNNNNNNNNNNNNNNNNNNNNNNNNNNNNNNNNNNNNNNNNNNNNNNNNNNNNNNNNNNNNNNNNNNNNNNNNNNNNNNNNNNNNNNNNNNNNNNNNNNNNNNNNNNNNNNNNNNNNNNNNNNNNNNNNNNNNNNNNNNNNNNNNNNNNNNNNNNNNNNNNNNNNNNNNNNNNNNNNNNNNNNNNNNNNNNNNNNNNNNNNNNNNNNNNNNNNNNNNNNNNNNNNNNNNNNNNNNNNNNNNNNNNNNNNNNNNNNNNNNNNNNNNNNNNNNNNNNNNNNNNNNNNNNNNNNNNNNNNNNNNNNNNNNNNNNNNNNNNNNNNNNNNNNNNNNNNNNNNNNNNNNNNNNNNNNNNNNNNNNNNNNNNNNNNNNNNNNNNNNNNNNNNNNNNNNNNNNNNNNNNNNNNNNNNNNNNNNNNNNNNNNNNNNNNNNNNNNNNNNNNNNNNNNNNNNNNNNNNNNNNNNNNNNNNNNNNNNNNNNNNNNNNNNNNNNNNNNNNNNNNNNNNNNNNNNNNNNNNNNNNNNNNNNNNNNNNNNNNNNNNNNNNNNNNNNNNNNNNNNNNNNNNNNNNNNNNNNNNNNNNNNNNNNNNNNNNNNNNNNNNNNNNNNNNNNNNNNNNNNNNNNNNNNNNNNNNNNNNNNNNNNNNNNNNNNNNNNNNNNNNNNNNNNNNNNNNNNNNNNNNNNNNNNNNNNNNNNNNNNNNNNNNNNNNNNNNNNNNNNNNNNNNNNNNNNNNNNNNNNNNNNNNNNNNNNNNNNNNNNNNNNNNNNNNNNNNNNNNNNNNNNNNNNNNNNNNNNNNNNNNNNNNNNNNNNNNNNNNNNNNNNNNNNNNNNNNNNNNNNNNNNNNNNNNNNNNNNNNNNNNNNNNNNNNNNNNNNNNNNNNNNNNNNNNNNNNNNNNNNNNNNNNNNNNNNNNNNNNNNNNNNNNNNNNNNNNNNNNNNNNNNNNNNNNNNNNNNNNNNNNNNNNNNNNNNNNNNNNNNNNNNNNNNNNNNNNNNNNNNNNNNNNNNNNNNNNNNNNNNNNNNNNNNNNNNNNNNNNNNNNNNNNNNNNNNNNNNNNNNNNNNNNNNNNNNNNNNNNNNNNNNNNNNNNNNNNNNNNNNNNNNNNNNNNNNNNNNNNNNNNNNNNNNNNNNNNNNNNNNNNNNNNNNNNNNNNNNNNNNNNNNNNNNNNNNNNNNNNNNNNNNNNNNNNNNNNNNNNNNNNNNNNNNNNNNNNNNNNNNNNNNNNNNNNNNNNNNNNNNNNNNNNNNNNNNNNNNNNNNNNNNNNNNNNNNNNNNNNNNNNNNNNNNNNNNNNNNNNNNNNNNNNNNNNNNNNNNNNNNNNNNNNNNNNNNNNNNNNNNNNNNNNNNNNNNNNNNNNNNNNNNNNNNNNNNNNACUAAUGACAUGAUUGUUUAUGUGAUGUGAUGACCGUGGACACAUAUACAAGAUACGAUAGGUGACAUUGAGAGAUUACGAUUUCUUUCUCAUCCUCUCUUGUCUCUAAACCAUUAAUAACUAUAGUCUUGUGAAAAGGUAGAAAGAGAUGAGGAGUGUUUAGUUCUCCUUGUAGAUUGACAUUUGAUAUAGAUGAUUUUGCCCCACACAAACUCAUUUGCCACUAAGGCCAACAUGAGAGUUCCAGGUAACCAACUCCGAAAUGGCACCAUAGUGCAUUCUGAUAACCACCCUACCUUAUUAAGAUCAAAGAAUGAUAAGGUGAUUCAACUAAUUUUAUCCAAGGCCAGCCAGUAAAAGACCCAGGGAUCAAGUAUAAAAAGGAACUCAUUAACUCACGCUGAGAGGGGGGACUUUCUACAUACUAACCUAGUCAUACAGCUUACGCUACUAUCUUUUUUCUUUCGCUGACUUAAGCAUCGGAAGGGAUGCGUUAGGCAACCCACAAUGUUGGCCUAUCAUGCAAGAUUGCUAACGGUCAAGAGAUGACAUCACUGUUAGGACACAACCAUGCAACCACGAGACAAUCCUUCAUUCGAGGACACAUGGAUGACCCAACCCUAGGGAAGAACCUCACAACUAAGAAGACUCCAAACCUCCUACCCGAUCAUCCUGAAUCGGGUCCUCGCCAAUAGAAUGAAGUCCGAUCAGACCGCCUAUGCUGUCUCACUCAUCAGGUCACCCACAUCAGUCAAGAAAAGGCACCUGGGCAAACUUGCACCUUCGAUAGUGGAUCAACCGUGUUGAGUUAUCAAUCGAUGGUAUUCAUGACACCAUCAAUAUCCUUAUAAUAUUUGAAUCUGAGGAUGGUGAUCCUACAUACAUAGAGAAUUUUUCAGAUAACUUUGAAGGUAUGUAAUAUAAAUCUAAUAUAUGUUAUUUAAUUUCAAUCCCAAUAUUAAAAUUAAUAUAUAGCAUAUAAUAUAUUUUAUGCCGGAAACUUGAUAGUGGAUCAAUCGUGCUGAGUUAUCAGUCGACGGUACUCAUGAUACCAUCAAUAUUUUUAUAAUAUUCGAAUAUAAGGAGGAUGCUGAUCCAAUAGAGAAUUUUUCACAUGACUUUGAAAGAUAUGUAAUAUAAAUCUAAUAUAUAUUAUUUGAUUUCAAUCCCGAUAUUAAAAUUAAUAUAUAACAUAUAAUAUAUUUUAUGCUUGGAACUUGCUAUGUGCCCUCUUUCCCUCUUCUUUCGACCCUUUAUAUCGCUCUGCAAAUAAUCAUUAUUACACUCCAAAAGCUAACGGUAAACGAAGCAAAAGAGGCAAAUGGAACAAAAGACCAGUCUUGGGACCCUGUCCUGUUUCUAUGUUGUCCCAGAAAGCCAGGUACCUUAAAAGAUUUUUCUUUGUCUCUGGAAUAGUUAAACAUGGCCAAAUUAAAUUAAGAUUUUGUCAGUAGAGAAGACAGCAGAACAUAACUAAAACUUGAGCAAAACCAAGUGAAGAAUUGGUAAAUGAAUGCUUAUAUUUUACCUUGAUUCAAAGUACCGAUGCUGAACCCAUAUCUUGCCAAUGAAGUAGGAUGAAUUCAACCUCGGUUGUAAAGUAAGAGCAGGAGUUAAAAGAAUGGAAGCCAGCCAUGGCCUUUUGCAGAGGAGACGAUCAGACGAAUCCUUGUGAGCUAGGAGAUUGGAGGUGGGGUAAGCCAACAUCAUCAUCCACAUGGCCAAUAAUUGUGUUCAGGUUAGAUAAGAUUCUAUGAGAAACUCACGUGCCUCAUUACGGUUAACUUGUUAGAUUUACCAUUUCGUUUGGAUCAGCAGAUAAAUCCAUCCAAAAGAUAACAAGGAUUUGAAGCCUUUGCUGUGUGUGUGAUCUCUAGUAUGUUGUCUGAUCUAAGUGGAGGAAGAUAAAAAAUAAAAUACAAGUUAAUAUAUCAUAUGCUUAAGAAAGUUCCAAAUAAGUUCCCAUGAUUUUCCAUUUGAUUUUUAUGGAAUUCGACAAAACAAGUUCCUUUUGGAGUUAGCAUUCUAAACCGUGCACUGAGGUGGAGCAUUGUGAUGAUGAGAUUAAACUGACUAGCACAGAAUAAAAAGAGCGAAGUUUUAGUUUCUAUAGUGAAAAUGAUGGAAGGGGUGCUAAUAACUUAUGAAAUGUGUAUGCUAAUAAGUUUUAGUUUCUAUGGUAUUUUUAAAUAACGUUAUAGUGUUUUUGUAAGGUGUAAAGCCAUUGAAAAAUAUCAGUUAUAGUAUUUUCAAUUGCAGCAUCAGAGAGUUCCCCUCUUCCCAACACCUGUUUACCUAACAACGAGCAUGAAUAUAUGCCUAUGACCAAAAAAUUCCAUUUGGUGUCUGCAAAAUAUGGCGGCAAACACUAAAUCCGGUGAAGAAAUGAAUGCCAUUUGCCCUUCGCUUGCAUCUCAUAGGUGCAAAAGAAGGGGAAAAGAAUCUGGGCAUAAAAUCUAGUUAGCUAGAAUUUGGAUGCUUUCAUCUCCAGAAUCUAUCUUUUUAUCUUUUCUUAAAUAUCAGUGAAUUCAAUGUAGAAGGCAUUGCAGUUUUCUUCCUGUUUCUUCCUUUCUUUUCUUUUAGAAAAACAAAAGGAUGAUGAGAAUAUGCACAUUUUGGUUAUAUAUUCUCAACAAUGAUUUGAGAAUAAGAACAAUGAAAUGACUGCAGACAGGACCAAUAUCUAUGUUUUCAGAAAUAACAACUGAUAAGUCGUCAAAUGAACAGCUGUGCUGUGUGCAUUAGUCUUUAUAAAGUAUAAAUUCCACAUCAUACUUCACUUGAUCACCAUCAAUAUGGUGGAAACAAAUUUAAAAGAAAGUUCAGUUUGAUAUGAUGUAAAACAAGAUAUCUCAUUCUUGGUUUGAUCUAAUUCCAAAAAUUUAUGCUCAGAUCUAUAUCAUUUCUUAAGUAUAUUUGAACACACAACAAUAACAAUAUCAGAAAUCUUAAAUUCGGGAAGCAGGGAUGAUACCGCAUUACCAACAAAACCUGAUAAUAACGAGAAAAAAUAAAUAGAUCUUGUUUAGCGAGCAAUUUUAGAGGGCAUAAAAACCUAGAACAUAUAUAGUUCUACAAGUUGAAAGGAUCUCAGUCCUUCUAGAGACAAAAUCUCCCACAAAAAGUAUCAAGCCUUGCAAAGAGCAACAGUCCUUUACUACUGAAAGAACCUGACCCUAUCCAGCUGCUAGUUCUGAGGCAGUACAGUACAUGUAUAAUUCUUCGCUGAUAACGAGUCAAGCCUUUGUUAGGUAAACAUCUCUACGAUGAUCAACAUGCGAUAGGGUGCAAGUCAUCUAAAACUUCUCUUGAUCCCGAUAACUCAACAAGAGUAAGCAGUGCUUCAGUUUAAUUUAACCAAGUACAUACCAGCCAGAGACACUGCUGUUAAUUCUCCAAGGCCAAUAAUGUAUGAAUACCUAAGAAAAAGCACAAUGCAAAAGAUUGGAACUAGGACACAUACAACAUUUACUGGAGAUUAGCAUGCUACAAUACCUCAGGGAAGUUAUAUUGACGUAUUUGUCCAGAGACAACAAUACAACAAAGUCUUAAGAAAAGGAACACACCAAAAUAUUAAAAAUCGGACGAAUGGCUGAGACUAGCAUGCUAUACUAUAACAGAAUAGCAAAAAUAAGAAUCUGGAGAACCAUUAGGCAAUAAAUUCGAGAUUACAUGUUGCCAUUAGGCAAUAAAUUUAGAUAUGCUCUAUUGUCACAUUGAAGCACAAGUUUGUAACAUAAAAACAACCUGCAUAAUUUGACAUAUUAACUAGACUUCCAGAUCACAUUUUUGUUUGAUAGCUAUUACAGCUUUGACAAAAAUAAGACACCGAACAAAGGAUGCAAAAGAAACAUAUAGUAGCAAAAGCCAAAAAAGUUGAAAUGUGGAUUUUCAUAGUACAUAAACCAGUAUAACUACAUAUCAUAAAUAUAACCAAAGAUUCUAACCGUUAGAAAUAUCUUGACUUCAGUCUGACUGUGGGCAAAAUAUGUUUCAGGAAGGCUGAAAUUGGUGUCAUCUGACAGCGGACAAAAUACAUUUUGGGAAGGGAGAAAUUGGCCUACAAGAAGUCAGCAAGUCUCAUUUCUCUUUCAUUACAUGAAGGCUGGCAAAGGUUGAAUUCUCCCUAGCAAAGUAACUCCUAGAAUUAUAUUUCCUUUUCCAAUUUGUUCAACAUAUCCUUACUAAUGUAAUCAAACUAGCACACUGCAGAUGCCAAACUCUGGAAGGUAACACAUACUAAAACAGCAAUUUCCAAGAACCUUGUUAAUCCACUUCUUUUGCACCAGACACUCCGCAAAUGGAGCUAACACCCCAAGUAUUUUUUAUUGAUAAGAACAAUUUAUGAUCGAUACAACACAGCCUCUGGACAGCAACACCUACUAAAAUAGCGAUUUCCGAGAACACUGCUAAUCCACUUCUUUUGCACCAAACACCCAGUAAAUGGAGCAAACAAUCAAGUACUUUUGAUUGAUAGGAACAUUUUAUGCACCGAACACUCAAUAUGACCCAACCUAAAAAAUGAGAGGAUCACACCCUCUGUAAACUUAUGAUCCAGACAUCUGUAACGCACAGAGCACAAUAAUAAUAUUCAUUGACAAUAAUGGAAAAUGCAUCCCAUCAAGUCUCAUCAUUAUUACUGGCGUACACAUCUAACUGUACAUUUAUUAAAUUUCAGAUAACAAUCUUCACAUUGCUAGAACCGAACACUUCUCAAUCCUUAGCUCCUCAACUACUGAUCAUCUGAAAUAUGUAAUUUUCAGAUCGAUAGGGAUUUUCUUAGUAGAAACAAGACGUCAAGAAAUCUAGUUGUGUCUCAUGCAAUCAGCUAAAGAUAAGAAUAAUAAUGAAAAAAUAGAAUAAAUUAGAAUAAAAGAUCUCACAAAUUCAUCAUGAGAAAAGCACAUCCAUCAGUGCACUUUGCUGCAUUGGAACUCGUCCGACUGCACAGAAUGAAGCAACCUCCUUAUAGACCAAAUUCAUAUCACAUUCCCUGGUAUUAGUCCAUUACUAAGAUCAAGUGGUGCCUGGAAACAGUGGAAAUAUGUCUUUCUAUAGUUGCAAGGAAUAUCUUAUAAGCUUGUUUGACGACUACUAAUCCCUUUCAAAAUUGCCCCCUAAUAAUGACAAUGUUGUUCAAUCAUCCAUAUAUGUGUAUAUCAACAAGCUGCACAACCAUGCAACAACAUCCUUUCACAUUUUCAAGCGUCCAGCUUAUGCAUCAUGGCACUUCUAACAAAUAUUAAUGUGCGUCAAUUAUAGGCAAUAAUAGAUUGCCAAAAGAAAUAUGAACUAAUAACAGCAUAUUAAAAUUUCAUCAUGUCAGCAUACAGAGAAUCUAGGUUUUAUGAGGCACCUAACACUAUAUUGAUCAUCCAAAUUGGAUACAGAGUCCAAAAAAGUUAUUAUCGAUUUACAAUUCAGUCCUUGAAAUUUACAAUCAUUUCUUCAUUACAUUGCAAACCAGUCCCUAGCAGUCUUAAUGGGCAGGACCUUAGGCUGCCAUGUGGAACUUGGUCUCACAGGCCGGACCACAUGGAGUUGGCCUGUCUGAGCUGAAGUGCAUGAAGUUUAGACCACCCUCGUACUCAAAUGCUUAAAUUGGUAAAGGACAACUUGCAUAUUCCAGUGCUUAAAUUGAGAACAAAACAUUGUCAAUACGGAAAGUGUGGUUUCCUUCAUAAAUCUAAGAGUUACAACUUCAUACUCAAGAAGACAGUCAGCUGCAACCUAUCAUGGUGGCAACCUGGUAUUCAUUAAGGUUUUGCAUUUAUAAAGAGAGAAAUUUCAACUGAAUUGACCGAUCAGCAUGAGGAAAAAAGUGGUUCAAACUAAUCACUUAAGAAAGAGAACAAAGUUUGAUAAACAAAAUAUACAAAAAAUUGAAACCCAACCUCAUCUCCCUUUUUCGGGUUUUGGGUUUGGUUUUGAAUAGGAGGGACUUUAGUAAAUUUAUAUAAAAGGUGACCAACCCUUGCGCUAAAUCAAAAGCCUCAUCAUCCAGCUCAAAAUCACCAAAGCAUCCUACCAUACCAUCCAAAAGAAUCCUACUUCUUAUCAUUUGAUAAAAUAACCAAAACUCGAAACCUAAAUUACCAAUUAUCCAUAGUUAAAUCAAUUCAAAACUUCAGGUGUCCAAUAACCUACAUAAGUCUGAUAUCUUCCAGUAGACUUAAAACGAAUGGGACAAGAAUAACAAUUCCAUGUGGAGUCUACACAAGUGAUUAUCAACAAGCAAUUAACUCUAUCGGCAAUAUCAUCACAAAUCUUCUCAACAUUCUUCAUUUUCUUACUACAUGUAAGCAUCCAAACUCAUCUUACAUUCACAGAAAACAAAGUAAAUGGCAAGAAUUAUUUGGUUGCAAACUGUAUAUCAUGUUAUGCAGAUAGUUGAAAAUUGGAACCUGGAAACAUAACUUGCUGGUACAAAAGCUUGUGCUAUGCAUUAUGCAUUUCCACGAUCAAAGUGCAUUUCUGUCUUUGGGGGCUACAUUAUACAACUCAAUGAGUUCUGGAUACUCCUUGUAGCAGUUGACGAACUUCUCCAGAAAUUGUUUCUCUGGAUAUUUCAUGUAUGAAAAUAUACUAAGGUUACUGAUGCAAACUCCCCUAGACUUCAGACCUGUCACAAUCCGAUGCCUUGGCAUCAACCUUUUCUCCAAACUCAACAACAAUAAAUCUGGCCGAAAUGCAAGAUAAGAUGGAGUACAUCCGGCUUCAUUUACCAAGAACUCCAUCUUCCUCUGCAAACUCUUUAAAGAAAAUCGCACAAACGUAGGAGCCUUUCUGAAUGCAGCAAGGAAAUCAUCCUCGGACCACCCGAAGCCCUUGAAGAACUCCAAGUGAGCCUUGAAGUUAUUCUCGGAGACGCUCUGGAGCACACUCAGGAUCACGAGGAACAUCCCCGAGGUGCGAGGUACUCCCAAAACCUCGACACGGCUGAUUAACGCCUUCAGGGUUUCAGCAUUCCGGGUUAUGAGGAGGGGAUAUUGCCGUAGGAUCAUUGAGAGCUUCUGAUCCGUCAUCCCGCAAUCCCUUAGAAUUUCAAUGUUAGGCUGGAUCGUCUUCUCGAUGCUAUACCCGAGUAACCACCUGUUUCUCUUCCAUAUCUUCAUCAGUAAGUCGUUGGACCCGAGGAGGCCUUGCCAUAAUUGGAUCUUCGACAAGAUGGUCUGGGAAUUGUCGCUGAUGACGUCGUUANNNNNNNNNNNNNNNNNNNNNNNNNNNNNNNNNNNNNNNNNNNNNNNNNNNNNNNNNNNNNNNNNNNNNNNNNNNNNNNNNNNNNNNNNNNNNNNNNNNNNNNNNNNNNNNNNNNNNNNNNNNNNNNNNNNNNNNNNNNNNNNNNNNNNNNNNNNNNNNNNNNNNNNNNNNNNNNNNNNNNNNNNNNNNNNNNNNNNNNNNNNNNNNNNNNNNNNNNNNNNNNNNNNNNNNNNNNNNNNNNNNNNNNNNNNNNNNNNNNNNNNNNNNNNNNNNNNNNNNNNNNNNNNNNNNNNNNNNNNNNNNNNNNNNNNNNNNNNNCGGCGGAAUAAGAAUGGGUUGCGAGAAAAAGGGCAGCAUCGGCCGGACGACAGCAAGGGACGAAGGCAAGGGCUUUGGACAAGAGAGAGACGUAGGGCGACCUAUUCAUCAAUGUCAUCGUCUUCUUCUUCUUCUUCUUCUUCUUCUUUGUAGGUUCCUUCUCUUUACCAAAACCUAGCGAAGGUGGCGUAGCUGCGUAUAGAGGAGCGCGUUUAGGCCGGAAGUACCUGCGUCUUAAACCCUAGAAGUGCGUUACCGUGUUCGACAUUUUUUUUUCGGGCGGAGAUUACUGCGACCGCAGGCAUCUUUUUUUUCUUCGUCAACUUUUAGUUUGUUGAGGGGAGAAAAAACUUUUAUUGCGUGCCAACUAAAGAUAAUAAAAGGUGUUCUUUUAGAAAAAAGUUGCACUAUUAUUUUUUUAUCUUGGGUGUAUUUUUUAUAGUUAGAACAAAAAUAUACCCUUAAUCUUCUAUUAAAAAUGACUUGAUCAGCUAUUAAAAAAUUGAUAAUUAAUUAUCAAACAAAUUUUAAAAAAUAUAAAAAGCUAUACUAAUCAUUUUAAAAUCAAUAGAUAUGUAUCGAAGAUGAUUAAUAUCUAUUUUUUAUUUUAAAAACUUUAUAAUUAAUUAUCAAAUUAUAAUUUAUUUAAAUAAUAUAUAUGAUUAAGUCACAUAAGUUAAAAAUAUAAGAGUGUUUUUUGUCUAUAUAAAAAAUACCUAAGUAAAAAUGAAUAUGGAGGAUUUCAUCGAUAAAAAAAACUAAUACUAAAAAUUAUUUUUUUUAUAAAAGACCCAACAUAAAUGAAUGAAUGUUAUAAAAUAACUUAUUCGUCAUAAAAUUUGAUGGAUUAAUACAUAUGCUACUCUAAUUAUCAAGUUAAAGUUAAUAAUAAAAAAUUCAUGUAAUCUUUAAUGUCAUCGUAACCAUCAACUAUUUAUGAUGUGAAUGGAAAACCUACUCAUUAUUCACUUAAAAAUCUAUUCAAUAGAUUUUCACCGUAUAGGGAACCAAUAGAGACUCACAAACACGUCGACUAUCUUGCUACUGAGAAUUAAUACAAACAUAUGCUAACUAUGAAACAAAGCCCAAGGCAACUUCUAUCUAGAAAUUAAUAAUCAUUAGAUGAUCAUAUUCAUACUAAAAAUAGAAAGUCAUUCAUCUCAUUAAGAAGGUGCACCUUGAUAAUUACUUUUGAUUUAGAAUCGAUUAUAUUUGAUUUAACAUAUUGACAAGCAUUGUAAUUGUUAUGAAUAUCCUUCUACGGAAUCAAAUAGUUUGCAUAAUAUAUCUCACAUUUAUAAAGGCUUCUUCUCAUAUUUAUUAUUUUUCAAUAUCGAAGAAUUAUUCUGUCAGCUUAAGGGAUUUAUACUUGAUCUAGCAGGCUCUUUAUGCAAAGUAACUCAAAAUCUCUUUUCAAUUUGUAUCUCAAAAUUGUUAUAAUACCUGACUGUUUUUAAUGGUUCUUUAUAAUUGAAUAAGAUAUAUAAUAAAAUUAAUUAGAUUUUGAUAACGGAUAUUAGUUAAUAGAAAGAAGUAUCAAAAUAGGGCCAAGUGGGAAAAUAUCUUAUUAAUUAAUGAGUUAAGUGAGAGAAUAUCAAAAUAUAUGACCCUUUAUAAUUAAAUAAGAUAUCUAAUAAAACCGAUUGAAUUCUGAUAACGGAUAUUAGCUAAUAGAAAGGAAGUUGAUAUUAUAAUAUGAUUCCUUAUGGUACGCACUUGAUGAGAGGACUCUCAUAAUUACUUAUCAUAUACCCUCUAAUCUCGCAUAUAAAUAGAUAGAACCUCCUAGGUCUAAUGACAUGAUGUUUAUGUGACGUGAUGAUCGUGGACACAUACAUAAGAUACGAUAGGUGACAUUGAGAGAUUACGGUUCCUUUCUCAUCAUCUCUUAUCACUGAACUAUCAAUAACUAUAGUCUUGUGAAAAUGUAGACAGAGAUGGGAAGUGUUUAGUUCUCUUUGUAGAUCAAUAUUUGAUAUAGAUGUUUUUGCUCCACACAAACUCAUCUGCCACUAAGGCCAACAAGAGAGUUCCAGGUCACCAGCUCCAAAAUGGCACCAUAGUACAUUCUGAUAACCAUCCUACUUUAUUAAGAUCAAAGAAUGAUCAGGUGAUUCAACUAAUCUUAUCCAAGGCUAGCUAAUAAAAGGCCUAGGGAUUAAGUAUAAAAAAGAAACUCAUUAACUCAAGCUAAGAGGGGGGACUUUCUACGUACUAACCUAGUUAUACAACUUACACCACUAUCUUUUCCCUUUCGCUGACUUAAGCAUCGGAAGGGAUGCGUUGGGCAACUCCCAAUACUGGCCUAUCAUGCAAGAUUGCUAAUGGCCAAGAGACGACAUCACUCUUAGGAUGCAGCCAUGCAACCACGAGACAAUCCUUCAUUCGAGGACACAUGGAUGACCCAACCCCAGGGAAGAACGUCGCAACCAAGAAGACUCCAAACCCCCUACCCGAUCAUCCCGAAUCGGGUCCUCACCAAUAGAACGAUGUCUGAUCGGACCGCCUAUGUUGUCUCACUCAUCGGGUCACCCACAUCAGUCAAGAAAAGGCACCUGGGUAAACUUGCACCUUCGAUAGUGGAUCAACCGUGUUGAGUUAUUAGUCGAUGGUACUCAUGACACCAUCAAUAUCCUUAUAAUAUUUGAAUAUGAGGAUGGUGAUCCUACAUAGAUAGAGAAUUUUUUAGAUGACUUUGAAAGGUGUGUAAUAAAAUCUAAUAUAUCUUAUUUGAUUUCAAUCCCGAUAUUAAAAUUAAUAUAUAGCAUAUAAUAUAUUUUAUGCUUGGAACUUGCUAUGUGUCCUCUUUCCCUCUUCUUUCUACCCUUUACAUCUCUCUACAAUAAUCAUUAUUACAAUCCAAAAGCUAACCGUAAAUUAAGCAAAAGAGGUAAAUGGAACAAAAAACCACUUUUGGGACCCUGCCCUGUUUCUAUGUUGUCCCAAAAAGCCAAGUACCUAAAAAGCUUUUUCUUUGUCUCUAGAAUAGCUAAACAUGGCCAAAUUAAGUUGAGAUUUUGGCAGCAGAGAAGAGCGGAACAUAACUAAAACUUGUGCAAAACCAAGUGAAGAAUUGGUAAAUGAGUGCUUAUAUUUUACCUUGAUUUAAAGUAUCGAUGCUGAACCCACAUCUUGCCAAUGAAGUAUAAUGAAUUCAACCUCAAUCGUAAAGUAAGAACAGGAGGUAAAAGAAUGAACGCCAACCAUGGCCAUUUGCAAAGGAGAUGAUCAAACGAAUCCUUGCGUGCUAGGAGAUUGGAGGUGGGUUAAGCCAACACCAUCAUCCACAUACCCAAUAAUUACGCUCAGGUUAGAUAAGAUUCCAUGAGAAACUCACAUGCCUCAUUACGGUUAACUUGUUAGAUUUACCACUUCGUUUGGAUCAGAAGAUAAAUCCAUCCAGUAGAUAACAAGGAUUUGAAGCCCUUGCUCUGUGUAUGUAAUCUCUAGUGUGUUGUCAGAUCUAAGUCGAGGAAGAUAAAAGACACGAGAUGUAUGAGUUGAUAUAUCAUAUGCUUAAGAAAGUUCAAAAUAAUUUCUCAUGAUUUUCCAUUAGAUUAUUGUGGAAUUCCAAGUCGUAGACAAAGCAUGUACCUUUUGGAGUUCUUCGUACGUACACAAUAUCUUGUGACAGACAUCUUUAUUAAGAUCUUUGGUUAUUUGCAGACAAAAGAUAAGUACUGCACAGACGAAGGAUCAUAAGCACACUUCGUUAACCCAAGAAACCUGACUGAUUUGUACUCAUGUAAAGACUGAUCAUAAAGUAAGCAUUCUAAACCGUGCACUGAGAUGGAGCAUUGUGGUGAUGAGAUUAAACUGACUAACCCAGAAUUAAAAAGUAAAGAUUUAAUUUCUACAAUGAAAAUGAUGGAAGAGGUGCUAAUAACUUGUGAAAUGUGUAUGCUUUGAUAUGCAUUUGAUGGAGUUGUGUGCAUGCAUCAAAACCAAAUUUCAGUUGUCAGAUAUCAUUACUGAUUUGUUGGUAAUUAGUUCCACAAAUUGUUAUACCAGCUUGGGAAAAGAAUCUGUACAUGUCAUAACAUGUUAGAACAAUAAACACCAUGAUCUUAUAAAAGAAAAGUACUCGUUCUUUAAUCCUAUGUGGAAGGUCUCAUAAAAAACUUGAACAAUUUUAUGAAAAAACUUCACAUUUUAUUUUUUUAAAAAAAAUUGUAAAUAUUUUUCCCUUUUUUUUUUUCCGAACAUGAGCAUAUUGAUCCAAAAUGGUGCACUAAUCUAAAUAGAUAGAUUUGAUCAUUUAAGGCUGGGAGUCCAUUUAGAUGAUUUAUAAUAUUUAUAAAUAGAUUUUAUAGUAUUUUUGUUGUGAUGAUCGAAACAUUAUAAAAGGUUAAACAUUAUAGGCUUGUAAUUAGUUUGAUUGAGGUUUAGUUUAUUUAUGGUAUGCUUUACAAUAUUUUUCAUGGCUAAUAAAAACAUUAUAAUAAACUAAUUUUUUACUCCUAUUUGGAUGAUAUUAUUAUUAAAUUAUUAUAAAUACAUAGUAUGAUAUAUCAAAUUAUUUCUAGUGUGUUUGGAUUUCUCAGUUAUAGUAUUUUUAAAUAACGUUAUAGUGUUUUUGUAAGGUGUAAAGCCAUUGAAAAAUAGUAUUUUUCAAUUGUUCAUCUUUGAUUAUCAUUGAUCGUAGAUCAUUACAGCCUAUAGUUGGUUUGACCGAGUCCAUUUGGGUCAUUUAUAAUAUUUUUAUUAUUAUGAUCAAAAUACUAUAAAAAUUAAUUUUUGAUCCUCAGUAAUGAUCAUGCUACUGUACAAAACCAAUCAAUCAACUUGGAUUCACACACCUAUAGAUCGGUCUAAAAGGUAUCCAUGAAAUUAGCGGGAAAAAUAUCAUUGAGACCGGUAAGAGAUACUUUCGGUAUUAUUCAAAAUAGAAGGGAGAAACAUGAGACAUAAUUUAGAAUAAUAAUAAUAAUAAUAAUAAUAAUAAUAAUAAUAAUAAUAAUAAUAAUAAUAAUAAUAAUAAUAAUAAUAAUAAUAAUAAAAGAGAGCUUUUGCUGACAAACAAAUUCCUUGAUUUGUGCGCUGUAGUUGUAGGGUCAUUUAGACUUUGCAGCAUCAGAGAGUUCCCCUCUUCCCAACUCCUGUUUACUUAACAAUGAGCAUGAAUAUACGCCUACGACCAAAAAUUCCAUUUGGCGCCCGCAAAAUAUGGCUGCAGAAACUAAAUCCGGUGAAGAAAUGAAUGCCAUUUGCCCUUCACUUGCAUCUCAUAGGAGCAAAAGAAGGGGAAAAGAAUCUGGGCAUAAAAUCUAGUUAGCUAGAGUUUGGAUGCUUUCAUCUCAAGAAAUCUCUCUUUUUAUAUUUUCUUAAAGUUCAGUAGAUUCAAUGUAGAAGGCAUUGCAAUUUUCUACCUGUUUCUUCCUUUCUAUCUUUUCUUUUGGAAAAACAAAAGGAUGGCCAGAAUAUGCACAUUUUGGUUAUAUAUUCUCAACAAUGAUGAGAAUAAGAACAAUGAUAUGACUGCAGACAGGACCAAUAUCUAUGUUUUCAGAAAAUACAACCGAUAAGUCGUCAAAUGAACAGCAGUGCUGUGUGCAUUAGUCUUUAUAAAGUAUAAAUUCCACAUCAUACUUCACUUGAUCUCCAUCAAUAUGGUGGAAACAAAUUUAAAAGAAAGUUCAGUUUGAUAUGAUGUAAAACAAGAUAUCUCAUUCUUUGUUUGAUCUAAUUACAAAAAGUUAUGCUCAGAUCUAUAUCAUUUCUUAGUCUAGAGUAUAUUUGAACACACAACAAUAACAUUAAUUGCAAGCCAUAAUGAGCAGAUGUUGCCAAUCAGAAAUCUUAAAUUCGGGAAGCAGGGAUGAUACCGCAUUACCAACAAAACCUGAUAAUAACGAUUAAAAAUAAAUUGAUCUUGUUUAGCAAGCAAUUUUAGAGGGCAUAAAAUCCUAGAACAUAUAUAGUUCUACAAGUUGAAAGGAUCUCAGUCCUUUUAGAGACAAAAUCCCCCACAAAAAGUAUCAAGCCUUGCAAACAGCAUCAGUCUUUUCCUACUGAAAGAACCUGACCCUAUCCAGCAGCUAGUUCUGAGGCAGUACAGUACAUGUAUAAUUCUUCGCUGAUAACGACUCAAGCCUUUGUUAGGAAAACAUCUCUACGAUGAUCAACAUGCGAUAGGGUGCAAGUCAUCUAAAACUUCUCUUGAUCCCGAUAACUCAACAGGAGUAAGCAGUGCUUCAGUUUAAUUUAACCAAGUACCUACCUGCCAGAGACACUGCUGUUAAUUCUCCAAGGCCAAUAAUGUAUGAAUACCUAAGAAAAAGCACAAUGCAAAAGAUUGGAACUAGGACACAUACAACAUUUACUGGAGAUUAGCAUGCUACAAUACCUCAGGGAAGUUAUAUUGACGUAUUUGUCCAGAGACAACAAAACAACAAAGUCUUAAGAAAAGGAACACACCAAAAUAUUAAAAAUCGGACGAAUGGCUGAGACUAUCAUGCUAUACUACAACAGAAUAGCAUAUAUAAGAAUCUGGAGAACCAAGGGCUGGAAUCAAAUUUGAGAUUACAUGUUGCCAUUAGGCAAUAUAUUUAGAGAUGCCCUAUUGUCACAUUGAAGCACAAGUUUGUAACAUAAAAACAACCUGCAUAAUUUGACAUAUUAACUAGACUUCCAGAUCACAUUUUUGUUUGAUAGCUAUUACAGCUUUGACAAAAAUAAGACACCGAACAAAGGAUGCAAAAGAAACAUAUAGUAGCAAAAGCCAAAAAUGUUGAAAUGUGGAUUUUCAUAGUACAUAAACCAGUAUAACUACAUAUCAUAAAUAUAACCAAAGAUUCUAACGGUUAGAAAUAUCUUGACUUCAGUCUGACUGUGGGUAAAAUACAUUUCAGGAAGGCUGAAAUUGGUGUCAUCUGACAGCGGACAAAAUACAUUUUGGGAAGGGGGAAAUUGGCCUACAAGAAGUCAGCAAGUCUCAUUUCUCUUUCAUUACCUGAAGGCUGGCAAUGGUUGAAUUCUCCCUAGCAAAGUAACUCCUAGAAUUAUAUUUCCUUUUCCAAUUUGUUCAACAUAUCCUUACUAAUGUAAUCAAACUAGCACACUGCAGAUGCCAACCUCUGGAAGGUAACACAUACUAAAAGAGCAAUUUCCAAGAACCUUGUUAAUCCACUUCUUUUGCACCAAACACUCUGCAAAUGGAGCUAACACCCCAAGUAUUUUUUAUUGAUAAGAACAAUUUAUGAUCGAUACAAGACAACCUCUGGACAGUAACACCUACUAAAAUAUCAAUUUCCUAGAUCACUGCUAAUCCGCUUCUUUUGCACCAAACACCCUGCAUAUGGAGCUAACAAUCAAGUACUUUUGAUUGAUAAGAACAUUUUAUGCACUGAACACUCAAUAUGACCCAACCCAAAAAAUGAGAGGAUCGCACCCUCCGGAAAUUUAUGAUCCCGACAUCUGUAACGCACAGAGCACAAUAAUAAUAUUCAUUGACAAUAACUGAAAAUACAUCCCAUCAAGUGUCAUCAUUAUUACUGGAGUAAACAUCUAACUAUACUUUUAUUAAAUAUCAUAUAACAAUCUUCACCUUGCUAGAAUCGAACACUUCUCAAUCCAUAGUUCCCCAGCUACGGAUCAUCUGAAAUAUGUAAUUUUCAGAUCGAUAGGGAUUAUCUUAGUAGAAACAAGAUGUCAAGAAAUCUAGUUGUCUCAUGCAAUCAGCAAAAGAUAAGAAUAAUAAUGAAAAAAGAGUAUAACUUAGAAUAAAAGAUCUCACAAAUUCAUCAUGAGAAAAGCACAUCCAUUAGUGCACUUUGCUGCAUCGGAACUCGUCCGACUGCUCAGGAUGAAGCAACCUCCUUAUAGACUAAAUUCAUAUCACAUUCCCUGCUAUUAGUCCAUUACUAGGAUCAAGUGGUGCCCGGCAACAGUAGAAAUACGUCUUUCUAUGGAUGCAAGGAAUAUCUUAUAAGCUUCUAUGACGACUACUAAUCCCUUUCAAAAUUGCCUACUAAUCAUGACAAUGUUGUUCAAUCAUCCAUAUAUGUAUAUAUCAACAUGCUGCACAACCAUGCAACAACAUCCUUUCACAUGCUCAAGCGUCCAACUUAUGCAUCAUGGCACUUCUAACAAAUAUUAAUUAUAGGCUACAAUAGAGGCAUCAAUAUAAAAUUGAUUGCCAAAAGAAAUAUGAUCUAAUAACAGCAUAUUAAAAUUUCAUCAUGUCAGCAUAAAGAGAAUCUAGGUUUUAUGAGGCACCUAACACUAUAUUGAUCAUCCAAAUUGGAUACAGAGUCCAAAAAAGUUAUUAUUGAUUUACAAUUCAGUCCUCAAAAUUUACAAUCAUUUCUUCAAUACAUUGCAAACCAGUCCCUAGCAGUCUUAAUGGGCAGGACCUUAGGCAGCCACGUGGAACUUGGUCUCACAGGCAGGACCACAUGGAGUUGGCCUGUCUGAGCUGAAGUGCAUGAAGUUUAGACCACCCCCGUACUCAAAUGCUUAAAUUGGUAAAGGACAACUUGUACAUUCCAGUGCUUAAAUUGAGAACAAAACAUUGGCAAUACGGAAAGUGUGGUUUCCUUCAUAAAUCUAAGAGUUUCAACUUCAUUCUCAAGAAGACGGUCAGCUUCAAACUAUCAUGGUGGAAACCUGGUAUUCAUUAAGGUUUUGCAUUUAUAAAGAGAGAAAUUUCAACUGAAUUGACCGAUCAGCAAGAAGAAAGAAGUGGUUCAAACUAAUCACUUAAGAAAGAGAACAAAAUUUGAUAAACAAAAUAUACAAAAAAUUGAAACCCAACCUCAUUUCCCUUUUUUGGGUUUCGGGUUUGGUUUUGGAAUGGAGGGACUUUAGUAAAUUUAUAUAAAAGGUGACCAACCCUUGCCCUAAAUCAAAAGCCUCAUCAUCCAGCUCAAAAUCACCAAAGCAUCCAACCAUACCAUCCAAAAGAAUCCUACUUCUUAUCAUUUGAAAAAAUUAACCAAAACUCGAAACCUAAAUUACCAAAUAUCCGAAGUCAAAUCAAUUCAAAACUUCAGGUGUCCAAUAACCUACAUAAGUCUGAUAUCUUCCAGUAGACUUAAAACAAAUAGGACAAGAAUAACAAUUCUAUGUGGCGUCUACACAAGUGAUUAUAAACAAGCAAUUAACUCUAUCGGCAAUUUCAUCACAAAUCUUCUCAACAUUCUUCAUUUUCUUACUACGUGUAAGCAUCCAAACUCAUAUUACAUUCACAGAAACGAAGUAAAUGGCAGGAAUUAUUUGGUCGCAAACUGUAGAUCAUGUUAUGCGGAUAGUGGAAAAUUGGAACCUGGAAACAUAACUUGCUGGUACAAAAGCUUGUGCUAUGCAUUAUGCAUUUCCACGAUCAAAUGCAGUGAUGUUUUUGGGGACUCCAUUAUACAACUCAAUGAGUUCUGGAUACUCCUUGUAGCGGUUGACGAACUUCUCCACAAAUUUCUUCUCUGAAUAUUUCACGUAUGUAGACAUACUAAGGUUACUGAUGCAAACUCCCCUAGACUUCAGGCCUGUCACAAUCUGAUGCCUUGGCAUCAACCUUUUCUCCAAACUGCACAACAAAAUAUCUGGCCGAAGUGCAAUAUGAGAUGGAGCACAUCCGGCUUCAUUUACCAAGAACUCCAACUUCCUCUGCAAACUCUUUAAAGAAAUUUGCACAAACGUAGGAGCCUUUCUGAAUGCAGCAAGGAAAUCAUCCUCGGACCACCCGAAGCCCUCGAAGAACUCCAAGUGAGCCUUGAAGUUAUUCUCGGAGACGUUGUGGAGCACAGUCAGGGUCAAGGGGAACAUCCCUGAGGUGCAAGCUACUCCCAAACCCUCGGCACGACUGAUUAACGCCUUCAGGGUUUCAGCAUUCCGGGUUAUGAGGAGAGGAUAUUGCCUUAGGAUCAUUGAGAGCUUCUGAUCCGUCAUCCCGCAAUCCCUUAGAAUUUCAAUGUUAGGCUGGAUCGUCUUCUCGAUGCUAUACCCGAGAAACCUCCUGUUUUUCUUGCACAAGUUCAUCAGUAAGUCGUUGGACCCGAGGAGGCCUUGCCAUAAUUGGAUCUUGGACAAGAUGGUCUGGGAUUUGUCGCUGAUGACGUCGUUAUUCGAUCUGACGAGGUGGGUGAUGUCGGAGCAGGAGAAGCCCAGAUCCUGCAAAGCUCGGAACUUUGGGGCCAGGGUCUUCUCCACGUCGAGGAGAAGCCACCGGGGGUUUGCAGAUAUGACCUUUUUCACCUGGGUGUUGUCAAAACCGUAGCUUUUAAAAAAGCCAAGGACGGAGUCAGGCUGGUGGCGGGAUUCGACGCGACCAAGGAGCUUCGAGGCUUUGGCCGCCUGAUCAGGAUGGAAGCCACAGUAGCUGACCAGGUAUUCAGCCAUAAGGCUGCUCUCUGGAGCACCGGAGGCGGCGGAAUAAGAAUGGGUUGCGAGAAAAAGGGCAGCAUCGGCCGGACGACAGCAAGGGACGAAUGCAAGGGCUUUGGACAAGAGAGAGACGUAGGGCGACCUAUUCAUCAAUGUCAUCGUCUUCUUCUUCUUCUUCUUCUUCUUUGUAGGUUCCUUCUCUUUACCAAAACCUAGCGAAGGUGGCGUAGCUGCGUAUAGAGGAGCGCGUUUUGGCCGGAAGUACCUGCGUCUUAAACCCUAGAAGUGCGUUACCGUGUUCGACAUUUUUUUUUUCUGGCGGAGAUUACUGCGACCGCAGGAGUCUUUUUUUUCUUUGUCAACUUUUAGUUUGUUGAGGGGAGAAACAACUUUUAUUGCGUGCCAACUAAAGAUAAUAAAAGGUGUUCUUUUAGAAAAAAUUUGCACUAUUAUUUUUUUAUCUAGGGUUUAUUUUUUAUAGUUAGAACAAAAAUAUACCCUUAAUCUUCUAUUAAAAAUGACUUGAUCAGCUAUUAAAAAAUUGAUAUCAAAAAUUUUUAAAAAAAUAUAAAAAGCUAUGCUAAUCAUUUUAAAAUCAAUAGAUAUGCAUCGAAGAUGAUUAAUAUCUAUUUUUAUUUUAAAAAUUUUUAUAAUUAAUUAUCAAAUUAUAAUUUAUUUAAAUAAUAUCUAUGAUUAAGUCACAUAAGUUAAAAUAUAAGAGUGUUUUUUGUCUAAAUAAAAAUACCUAAAUAAAAAUGAAUAUGGAGGGUUUCAUCGAUAAGAAAACUAAUACUAUAAAUUAUUUUUUUAUAAAAGACCCGACAUACAUGAAUGAAUGCUAGAAAACAACUAAUCCAUCAUAAAAUUUGAUGAACUAAUACAUAUGUAUUCUAAUUAUCAAGUUAAAGUCAACAAUAAAAAAUUCAUGUAAUCUUUAAUGCCAUCAUAACCAUCAACUAUUUAUGAUGUGAAUGGCAAAACCGCUCAUUGUUCACUUAAGAAUCUACUCAUUAGAUUUUCACUAGAUAGAGAACAGACAACAACUCGUAAACAUGUCAACUAUCUUACUAGAAACAUACACUAUCUAUGAAACAAUGCCCAAGGCAACUUCUAUCUAGAAAUUAAUAAUAAUUAGAUGAUCAUGUUCACACUCAAAAUAGAAAGUCAUUCAUCCUAUAAUCAUUAACUUAUUAUAUCCAUACCAAGAUUAAGAAAGUAUCCCGAUGAUUAACAUUGAUUUAGAUUCGAUUAUAUUUGAUUUAACAUAUUGACAAAUAUUGUAAUUGGUAUAUAUAUCCUUCGACGGAAUCAAAUAAUUUGGGUAAUAUAUCUCACGGCUAAUUCUCACUCUUUAUUAUUUUUCAAUAUCGAAAAAUUAUUCUGUCAGUUUAAGGGAUAUAUACUUGAUCUAGCUAGCUCUUUAUACAAAGUAACUCAAAAUCUCUUUUCAAUUUAUCAUCUCAAAAUUAUUAGAAUACAUGACUCUUUAUAAUUGAAUAAGAUAUAUAAUAAAAUUAAUUAGAUUUUAAUGACGAAUAUUAGUCAAUAGAAAGAAAUAUCAAAAUAUGUGCCAAGUGAGAGAAUAUCUUAUAAAUUAAUGGGCUAAGUGAGAGAAUAUCAAAUAUGUGACCCUUUAUAAUUGAAUAAGAUAUAUAAUAAAACUAAUUAGAUUAUGAUAAUGGAUAUUAGCCAAUAGAAAGAAAGUUUAUAUUAUAGUAUGAUUCCUUAGGGGGUGCCCUUGAUGGGAGGAACUCUCUUAAUUAUUUAUCAUAGACUCUCUACUCUCGUCUAUAAAUAGAUGGGACCUCAUAGGGACUAAUGACAUGAUGUUUAUAUGAUGUAAUGGUCAUGAACACAUACACGAGAUACAAUAUGUGACAAUGAGAGAUUACGAUUCCUUUCUCAUCCUCUCUUGUCUCUGAACCAUUAAUAACUAUAAUCUUGUGAAAAGGUAGAAAGAGAUGAGGAGUGUUUAGUUCUCCUUGUAGAUCGACAUUUGAUAUAAACGAUUUUGCCCCACACAAACUCAUCUACCACUAAGGCCAACACCUAUGGAGAGUUUCAGGUCAUUAGCUUCGAAAUGGCACCAUAGUGUCGAUAACCAUCCUACUUUAUUAAGAUCAAAGAAUAAUCAGGUGAUUUUGCUAAUCUUAUCCAAGGCCAACCAAUAAAAGGCCUAGGGAUCAAGUAUAAAAAGGAACUCAUUAACUCACGCUGAGAGGGGGGACUCUCUAUACACUAACCUAGUCAUACAGCUUACACUACUAUCUUUCCCCUUUCACUGACUUAAGCAUCGGAAGGAAUGCGUUGGGCAACCCCUAAUGCUGGCCUAUCAUGCAAGAUUGCUGACGGUCAAGUGAUGAUCGGACCCAAUCCUUGUCAAUAGAACCUCGUAAUCUUUAAUGCCAUCAUAACCAUCAACUAUUUAUGAUGUGAAUGGCAAAACUGCUCAUUGUUCACUUAAGAAUCUACUCAAUAGAUUUUCACUAGAUAGAGAACAGACAACGACUCGUAAACAUGUCAACUAUCUUACUAGAAACAUACACUAUCUAUGAAACAAUGCCCAAGGCAACUUCUAUCUAGAAAUUAAUAAUAAUUAGAUGAUCAUGUUCACACUAAAAAUAGAAAGUCAUUCAUCCUAUUAUCAUUAACUUAUUAUAUCCAUACCAAGAUUAAGAAAGUAUCCUGAUGAUUAACUUUGAUUUAGAAUCGAUUAUAUUUGAUUUAACAUAUUGACAAACAUUGUAAUUGGUAUAUAUAUCCUUCGACGGAAUCAAAUAAUUUGGGUAAUAUAUCUCACGGCUAAUUCUCACUCUUUAUUAUUUUUCAAUAUCGAAAAAUUAUUCUGUCAGUUUAAGGGAUAUAUACUUGAUCUAGCUAGCUCUUUAUACAAAGUAACUCAAAAUCUCUUUUCAAUUUAUCAUCUCAAAAUUAUUAGAAUACAUGACUCUUUAUAAUUGAAUAAGAUAUAUAAUAAAAUUAAUUAGAUUUUGAUGAAAACUAUUAGUCAAUAGAAAGGAAUAUCAAAAUACGUGCUAAGUGGGAGAAUAUCUUAUAAAUUAAUGGGCCGCCUCCGGUGCUCCAGAGAGCAGCCUUAUGGUUAAUAAAAACACUAUACGUGCUAAGUGGGAAAUUCCUAUGAUGGCUAAUAAAAACACUAUAAUAAACUAAUUUUACUCUUAUUUGGAUGAUAUUAUUGUUAAAUUAUUUUAAAUAUAUGAUAUAUCAAAUGGUUUGUAGUAUGUUUGGAUUUCUCAGUUAUAGUAUUUUUUAAAUAACAUUAUAGUGUUUUUAUAAGGUGUAAAGCAAUUGAAAAAUCUUUGAUUAUCGUUGAUCGUAAAUGUGUAGUUAGUUUGACUGAAUCUAUUCGGGUUAUUUAUAAUAUUUUUAUUAUGAUAAUCAAAAUACUAUAAAAAUUAAUUUUUGAUUCUCAUUUUGAUGACCAAACUAUUGUGUAAAUCAUAUAAAUCAGAUCAUGCUACUGUACAAACCAAUCCAUCAACUUGGAUUCAAACACCGAUAUAUCGGUCUAUAAGGUAUCUAUGAAACUAGUGGGAAAAAUAUCAUUGAGGCUGGUAAGAAAUACUUUCAGUAUUAUUCAAAAUAGAAGGUAUCAUUUGAGAAAUAUGAGACAUCUUUUAGGAAAAUAAUAAUAAAAAAAGUGAGACAUCUUCGAAAUCACCCGAAAACUUUUGCUCACUUGUUUACUAGGGUCUUCUAGACUUUGCAGCAUCAAGAGAGUUCCUCUCCUCCGAACUCCUGUUUACCUAACAUCUCUACGAUGAUCAACAUGCGUUAGGGUGCAAGUCAACUAAAACUUCCCUUGAUCCCGAUAACUCAACAAGAGUAAGCAGUGCUUCAGUUUAAUUUGACCAAGUACGUGCCUGCCAGAGACACUGCAGUUAAUUCUACAAGGCCAAUAAUGUAUGAAUACAUAAGAAAAAGCUCAACGCAAAAGAUUGGAAGAUUAUUUUGAUGUAUUUGUACAGAGAAAACAAUACAACAAAGUCUUUAGAAAAGGAACACACCAAAAGAUUAAAAAUAGGACGAAUGGCUGAGACUAGCAUGCUAUACUAUAUAAGAAUCUGGAGAACCAAGGGUGGAAUCAAAUUCGAGAUUACAUGUUGCUAUUAGGCAAUAAAUUUAGAGAUGCUCUAUUGUCACAUUGAAGCACAAGUUUGUAACAUAAAAAACAACCUGCAUAAUUUGACAUAUUAACUAGACUUCCAGAUCAACUUUUUGUUUGAUAGCUAUUACAGCUUUGACAAAAAUAAGACACCGAACAAAGGAUGCAAAAGAAACAUAUAGUAGCAAAAGCCAAAAAAGUUGAAAUGUGGAUUUUCAUAGUACAUAAACCAGUAUAACUACAUAUCAUAAAUAUAACCAAAGAUUCUAACUGUUAGAAAUAUCUUGACUUCAGUCUGAGUGUGGGUAAAAAACAUUUCAAGAAGGCUGAAAUUGGUGUCAUCUGACAGCGGACAAAAUACAUUUUGGGAAGGGAGAAAUUGGCCUACAAGAAGUCAGCAAGUCUCAUUUCUCUUUCAUUACCUGAAGGCCGGCAAUGGUUGAAUUCUCCCUAGCAAAGUAACUCCUAGAAUUAUAUUUCCUUUUCCAAUUUGUUCAACAUAUACUUACUAAUGUAAUCAAACUAGCACACUGCAGAUGCCAACCUCUGGAAGGUAACACAUACUAAAAGAGCAAUUUCCAAGAACCUUGUUAAUCCACUUCUUUUGCACCAAACACUCCGCAAAUGGAGCUAACACCCCAAGUAUUUUUUAUUGAUAAGAACAAUUUAUGAUCGAUACAAGACAACCUCUGGACAGUAACACCUACUAAAAUAUCAAUUUCCAAGAUCACUGCUAAUCCACUUCUUUUGCACCAAACACCCUGUAAAUGGAGCUAACAAUCAAGCACUUUUGAUUGAUAAGAACAUUUUAUGCACCGAACACUCAAUAUGACCCAACCAAAAAAAUGAGAGGAUCGCACCCUCCGUAAACUUAUGAUCCAGACAUCUGUAACGCACAGAGCACAAUAAUAAUAUUCAUUGACAAUAAUGGAAAAUGCAUCCCAUCAAGUCUCAUCAUUAUUACUGGCGUACACAUCUAACUGUGCUUUUAUUAAAUAUCAGAUAACAAUCUUCACAUUGCUAGAACUGAAAAAUUCUCAAUCCUUAGCUACCCAGCUACGGAUCAUCUGAAAUAUGUACUUUUCAGAUCGAUAGGGAUUAUCUUAGUAGAAACAAGACGUCAAGAAAUCUAGUUGUGUCCCACGCAAUCAGCUAAAGAUAAGAAUAAUAAUGAAAAAAGAGCAUAAAUUAGGAUAAAAGAUCUCACAAAUUCAUCAUGAGAAAAGCACAUCCAUCAGUGCACUUUGCUGCAUCGGAACUCGUCCGAGGGAUGAAGCUACCUCCUUAUAGACUAAAUUCAUAUCACAUUACCUGCUAUUAGUCCAUUACUAGGAUCAAGUGGUGCCCGGCAACAGUCGAAAUACGCAUUUCUAUAGAUGCAAGGAAUAUCUUAUAAGCUUGUUUGACGACUACUAAUCCCUUUCAAAAUUGCCUACGAAUAAUGACAAUGUUGUUCAAUCAUCCAUAUAUGUAUAUAUCAACAUGCUGCACAACCAUGCAACAACAACCUUUCACAUACUCAAGCAUCCAACUUAUGCAUCAUGGCACUUCUAACAAAUAUUAAUAUGCGUCAAUUAUAGGCUAAAAUAGACGCAUCAAUAUAAAAUUUAUUGCCAAAAGAAAUAUGAACUAAUAACAGCAUAUUAAAAUUUCAUCACAUCAGCAUACAGAGAAUCUAGGUUUUAUGAGGCACCUAACACUAUAUUGCUCAUCCAAAUUGGAUACAGAGUUCAAAAAAGUUAUUAUCGAUUUACAAUUCAGUCCUUGAAAUUUACAAUCAUUUCUUCAUUACAUUGCAAACCAGUCCCUAGCAGUCUUAAUGGGCAGGCCCUUAGGCAGCCACGUGGAACUUGGUCUCAAAGGCAGGACCACAUGGAGUUGGCCUGUCUGAGCUGAAGUGCAUGAAGUUUAGACCACCCCCGUACUAAAAUGCUUAAAUUGGUAAAGGACAACUUGUACAUUCCAGUGCUUAAAUUGAGAACAAAACAUUGUCAAUACGGAAAGUGUGGUUUCCUUCAUAAAUCUAAGAGUUACAACUUCAUUCUCAAGAAGACAGUCAGCUUCAAACUAUCAUGGUGGCAACCUGGUAUUCAUUAAGGUUUUGCACUUAUAAAGAGAGAAAUUUCAACUGAAUUGACCGAUCAGCAAGAGGAAAGAAGUGGUUCAAACUAAUCACUUAAGAAAGAGAACAAAGUUUGAUAAACAAAAUAUACAAAAAAUUGAAACGCAACCUCAUCUACCUUUUUUGGGUUUUCGGUUUGGUUUAGGAUAUGAGGGACUUUAGUAAAUUUAUAUAAAAGGUGACCAACCCUUGCCCUAAAUCAAAAGCCUCAUCAUCCAGCUCAAAAUCACCAAAGCAUCCUACCAUACCAUCCAAAAGAAUCCUACUUCUUAUCAUUUGAAAAAAUAACCAAAACUCGAAACCUAACUUAGCAAAUAUCCAUAGUUAAAUCAAUCAAAACUUCACGUGUCCAAUAACCUACAUAAGUCUGAUAUCUUCCAGUAGACUUAAAACGAAUGGGACAAGAAUAACAAUUCCAUGUGGCGUCUACACAAGUGAUUAUCAACAAGCAAUUAACUCUAUCGGCAAUAUCAUCACAAAUCUUCUCAACAUUCUUCAUUUUCUUACUACGUGUAAGCAUCCAAACUCAUCUUACAUUCACAGAAAACGAAGUAAAUGGCAGGAAUUAUUUGGUCGCAAACUGUAGAUCAUGUUAUGCGGAUAGUGGAAAAUUGGAACCUGGAAACAUAACUUGCUGGUACAAAAGUUUGUGCUAUGCAUUAUGCAUUUCCACGAUCAAAUGCAGUUCUGUUUUUGGGGACUCCAUUAUACAACUCAAUGAGUUCUGGAUACUCCUUGUAGCGGUUGACGAACUUCUCCACAAAUUUCUUCUCUGGAUAUUUCGCGUAUGUAGACAUACUAAGGUUACUGAUGCAAACUCCCCUAGACUUCAGGCCUGUCACAAUCUGAUGCCUUGGCAUCAACCUUUUCUCCAAACUGCACAACAAAAUAUCUGGCCGAAGAGCAAGAUGAGAUGGAGCACAUCCGGCUUCAUUUACCAAGAACUCCAUCUUCCUCUGCAAACUCUUUAAAGAUAAUCCCACAAGCGUAGGAACCUUUCUGAAUGCAGCAAGGAAAUCAUCCUCGGACCACCCGAAGCCCUUGAAGAACUCCAAGUGAGCCUUGAAGUUCUUCUCGGUGAUUCUCUGGAGCACACACAGGGUAAGGGGGAAGAUCCCUGAGGUGCGAGGUACUCCCAAACCCUCGACACGACUGAUUAACGCCUUCAGGGUUUCAGCAUUCCGGGUUAUAAGGAGGGGGCGGUGCCGUAUGAUCAUUGAGAGCUUCUGAUCCGUGAUCCCGCAAUCCCUUAGAAUUUCAAUGUUAGGCUGGAUCGUCUUCUCGAUGCUAUACCCGAGAAACCUCCUGUUUUUCUUGCACAAGUUUACCAAAAAGUCGUUGGACUCGAGGAGGUCUUGCCAUAAUUGGAUCUUGGACAAGAUGUUCUCGGAUUUGUCGCUGGUGACGUCGUUAUUCGAUCUGACGAGGUGGGUGAUGUCGGAGCAGGAGAAGCCCAGAUCCUGCAAAGCUCGGAACUUUGGAGCCAGGGUCUUCUCCACGUCGAGGAGAAGCCACCGGGGGUUUGCAGAUAUGACCUUUUUCACCUGGGUGUUGUCAAAACCGUAGCUUUUAAAUAAGCCAAGGACGGAGUCAGGCUGGUGGCGGGAUUCGACGCCGCCAAGGAGCUUCGAGGCUUUGGCCGCCUGAUCUGGAUCGAAGCCACAGGAGCUGACCAGGUAUUCAGCCAUAAGGCUGCUCUGUGGAGCACCGGAGGUGGCGGAGUAAGAAUGGGUUGCGAGAAAAAGGGCAGCAUCGGCCGGACGACAGCAAGGGACGAAGGCAAGGGCUUUGGACAAGAGAGAGACGUAGGGCGACCUAUUCAUCAAUGUCAUCGUCUUCUUCUUCUUCUUCGUAGGUUCCUUCUCUUUACCAAAACCUAGCGAAGGUGGCGUAGUUGCGUAUAGAGGAGCGCGAUUAGGCCGGAAGUACCUGCGUCUUAAACCCUAGAAGUGCGUUACCGUGUUCGACAUUUUUCUGGUUGGCUAG